rnacentral:rRNA from 1 species
UACGGAGGGGGCGAGCGUUAUUCGGAAUUAUUGGGCGUAAAGGGCGCGUAGGCGGCCCGGUAAGUCAAAGGUGAAAUCCCUCGGCUCAACUGAGGAACUGCCUUUGAAACUGUCGGGCUUGAGUCCGGGAGGGGGUAGCGGAAUUCCCAGUGUAGCGGUGAAAUGCGUAGAUACUGGGAGGAACACCAGUGGCGAAGGCGGCUACCUGGACCGGUUCUGACGCUGAUGCGCGAAAGCGUGGGUAGCAAACAGG